rnacentral:rRNA from 1 species
UACAGAGGGGGCUAGCGUUGUUCGGAAUCACUGGGCGUAAAGCGCGUGUAGGCGGUUUGACAAGUCAGAUGUGAAAUCCCGGGGCUUAACCUCGGAACUGCAUUUGAAACUGUCAGGCUAGAGUACGGUAGGGGAUAGUGGAAUUCCUAGUGUAGAGGUGAAAUUCGUAGAUAUUAGGAGGAACACCGAUGGCGAAGGCAGCUAUCUGGGCCGUUACUGACGCUGAGACGCGAAAGCGUGGGGAGCAAACAGG